CACGAGAUUGAGAACUAACAGGUCUGUGAUGCCCUUAGAUGUUCGGGGCCGCACGCGCGCUACACUGACCGGAUCAGCGUGUGCUCUCCUUGGCCGACAGGUCCGGGAAACCCGUUGAACCCCGGUCGUGCUAGGGAUAGGGAAUUGCAAUUAUUUCCCUUGAACGAGGAAUUCCCAGUAAGCGCGAGUCAUUAGCUCGCGUUGAUUACGUCCCUGCCCUUUGUACACACCGCCCGUCGCUACUACCGAUUGAAUGGUUUAGUGAGGUCCUCCGAUUGGACCCGGUCCGGGCGGCGACGUCCGAGCCGGCGUCCGAGAAGACGAUCUAACUUGAUCAUUUAGAGGAAGUAAAAGUCGUAACAAGGUUUCCGUAGGUGAACCUGCGGAAGGAUCAUUA
rnacentral:ncRNA from 1 species